CCUCUCAGGAAAGCUUUUUGCUCGAAUUAUGUUUCUCAUCCAAAUAUAAGACGAACAAAAGGUUUGUCUGAGGGCUG
rfam:Cavia porcellus supercont2_13 genomic scaffold, whole genome shotgun sequence.